rnacentral:lncRNA from 1 species
UUCAGACAGAGCUGAAUUCCUUGGCCAGAGUAGAGUUCCACUGGCACACCGGGCAGCAAGCGCCAGCCAGCCAACCGUGCAGGCUCCCAGUGGCAGCUGUGGUUUUUCCCCCGCCCGUCGUGGCCGUUGCCGUGGCCAUUUCAUCUGGGGGCUCCAUCUGGGAUAUUCAUCAGAAGGAUCAUAUUUCAAGUGUGCUGGUAGAGCUUCUCCUUUGAUGGAAACAUUUGUUAUACAGGGAAAGAGAAAAGAAGCUCAGAAGGAAUUCCAAUAUUCAGAUGUGACAUAUAGAAGAAAGUGUCGACAUGAAAGAAUUAUCCGCCAGAGAAUUCAGAGGAAAAUCAAGAAUGCAUUAUAUCAUGAAAGUAAAGAAAGGAUAAUGACCCAAAAAAGAGAGAGUUGUUGUUAUGAUGAGUCUCCAAUGAACCUGCUGCAUCCCUGCUGCAUAUCUAUUAUCUGGGGUAAUCUUCCUAAAAAGCAGAGUGUCAAGCAGCAUGCCUGGUUAUUCCAACUUAUGCAGAAAUAGAAGUGUCCUAAGAAGAGUCACUUUACAGCAAAGGAGAUAUGGUGGUACAGAUAUGACGAUGGGACCCAUAAAUACUGUUAUGUACUGCACUGCCAAAGAUGAACAGGCAAUAAAAAAAGCCAGCAUGUUGUCAAGAGUAAUUAACCCUGAUAAUCAAGGGGAGCUUGGGGCAAGAUGGCCGACUAGACACAGCAAGUGGAAUUACCGCCAGCAAGGGACUGAGACAACUGGCGCACUCCUAACAAAUCAUCCGAUGGAAGGCACCAGGAGUGGCCGAGGGAAGACACAGAAGGAAGCUGGGCUGAAACAGGAGGAACAUUGCACUGGGCUACCAUGCGCUGGGACUUGUUCCUGGCCCCCAAGGACUCUCAGGGAAUGGGUGAGUUGAACUUGCAAGGAGCAACCUGUUCUAACCACGGACCUCUGGAAUUCCAGCUGCAGGAGGCCCCUCAACUGCCAUGGACACUCAGGUUGGCAGCCAGAGCUGCUUAGAGAAGUGGUAGGGGCAGCAAGCCAGCGGAUGUAGAACCCAGGGAGUUUGGUGCGAGAACAUUUGUAGCGGAGCACGGUCAGGGACUUCCAUCCCUCUAGGCUUGACAUGCUUUCAUAGGAGACUUUAGUUCUAGGGCAACAGUCGGACUUGAACUCUGCAGGGUGGUCUUGACCAUCAGACAAGGUUGGCCCAACAUGAGCACCCUUUAGUUUGCUGGCCUCUCCCAGAGCCCGAGCCUGGCAGCACCUGCUUGCAGGGAAGCCUCAGGUACCCUGAGGGCCUGCAUCAUAGCUUCUGUACUGGAAGGCCUUCCAUGACAGGGGGUAAGCGCUCCAGAAGUGCAGCUGCCAUGGCCACACACCAGCCUGCCCACUCCCACCCCACACUACAGCUUCCUGUGUGUCUACAGCAAACACCCACAUCACUUUGCUGACACAUAUGUGCACAGAUGGGUUUUGCUUUCUUUACCUUGCCAGCAUAUAUGUGUAAGUGCACCCUGCCGUGCUACUGCUGCAAGAAGAGUGCAGUCCACACCCCCUACCACCACCAUGGCAGUUAGAACCUUGGUGGUCCCAGAGCCAACCAGUCCUACACCGACCAUCACUGGCCAUUUUGCCAACACUGCCAUGGGAAUGAAACUAGUCACAGGGAACAGCAGACCUCCCCACCCUGAGUGACCACCCCUGCCUGUGGCACAUAGAAAACACAAAGAGAAUGCACACAGACCUGUGCCCAUCAGCGCCCUCCCCUAUUGCCAACACUUGUGCAAAUACAAUCGCCAGCAGGGGCCCCUGCCCCCAUAAGUUGCCUUUCCUCUGCCACUGUAGUCUACACUUGAGUGGAGACAGGCAUGCAGGCACCUGCUAACACCCUGCUGUAGCUGACCAGCAUGCACCCCACUGUGCUUCUGCUGCUGGCACAUGCAAAUGAGGAUGUAUUCCAUUGUCACCAAACUAGAAAAGGCUUUGACUGGUACCACCCAUCAGAAUGUAGGGACCAGUGGUUGGAGAGCACCAUGGCUCCCUCAGUGCAAAGGGAUUCGUAACCUCAAGGAGACAAACAACAAGAUUUGCUGGAUACAAGUUCCCCAGAAUUAGAGCAGGCAAUCCAAGAGUUUGGUAGCUGGGUGUUGGCUAUCUAGAAUCUUCCAGAAAUGAAGCAAGUUGGCUGAAUUCACCUUAUACCACAAUUAUGUCCUCAAAAUUAUCAAAUAGGAUAAAAGAAAAAAAUGCAUCCAAAGGUCAGCAACUUCAAAGAUUGAAGGAACAUAAGGAACGUUAAGUCCAAAAAGAUGAGAAAGAACCAGUGCAAGAACCCUGAAAACUGAAAGAGCCAUAGUGCCUUCUUUCCUUCCAAUGACCACACCACCUCCACCACCUCCUCUCCACGGGUUCUGAACCAAGCUGAGAUGGCUGUAAUGACAGAAAUUGAAUUCAGAGUAUGGAUAGGAGCAAUGCAUUGAAAACCAAUCCAAGGAAGCUAAGAAUCACAAAAAAAUAAUGCAGAAGCUGACAGACAAAGUAGCUAGUAUAGAAAAUAAUGUAAAGGAAUUCAUUACCAGCAGACAUGCCUUACAAGAGCUCCUGAAGGAAGCACUAAACAUGGAAAGGAAAGAAUAAAAUAGCCAGUAUAGAAAAGAACGUAAGGGAAUCCAUUACCAUCAGACCUGCCUUACAAGAGCUCCUGAAGGAAGCACUAAAUAUGGAAGGGAAAGAACAUCACCAGCCACUAUAAAAACACACUUAAGUACACAGACCAGUGACAUUAUAAAGUAACCACAUAAACAAGUCUGCAUAAUAAUCAAUUAACAUCAUGAUGACAGAAUAAAUGCACAUAUAUAAAUAUUCACCUUGAAUGUAAAUAAGCUAAAUGCCUCAAGUAAAAGGCACAAAGCAGUAAGCUGGAUAAAGAACCAAGACCUAUUGAUACACUGUCUUUAAGAGAUCAUCUCACAUGCAAUGACACCUUUAAAAUCAAAAUAAAGGGAUGGAGAAAAACCUACCAAGCAAAUGGAAAACAGAAAAAAAGCAGGAGUUGCAAUCCUAGUUUUACACAGAACGACAAGCCCAGGACCAGAUGGAUUCACAGCUGAAUUCUACCAGAUGUACAAAGAAGGGCUGGUACCAUCCUUGCUGAAACUACUCCAAAAAAAUUGAGGAAGUGGGAUUCCUCCCUAAAUCAAUCUAUGAGGCCAGCAUCAUCCUCAUACCAAAACCUGGAAGAAACACAACAAAAAAAGAAAACUUCAGGCCAAUAUCCUUGAUGAACAUUGAUGCAAAAGCCCUCGAAAAAAAAAAAAAAAAAACUUGCAAACCAAACUCAGCAGCACAUCAAAAAGCUUAUCCACCAUAAUAAAGUUGGCUUUAUCCCAAGGAUGAUAGGUUGGCUGAACAUAAAUAAAUCAAUAAAAAUGAUUCAUCACAUAAACAGAAAUAAAGACAAAAACUACAUGAUUAUAGAUGCAAAAAAAGCUUUUGAUAAAAGUUAAUACUUCUUCAUGUUAAAAACUCUCAGUAAACUUGGUAUUGAAGGAAUAUACCUCAGAACAGUAAGAGUUAUCUAUGACAAAACCACAGCCAACAUCAUACCUGAAUGGGCAAAAUUUGGAAGUGUUCCCCUCGAAAACCAGAAUAAGACAAGGAUGCCCUCUCUCACUACUCCUAUUCAACAUAUAAUUAGAAGUCCUGGCCAGAGCAAUCAGGCAAGAGAAAGAAAUAAAGGGCAUCCAAAUAGGAAGAGAGGAAGUUAAAAUAUCCCUGUUUGCAGACAUGAUCCUAUAUCUAGAAAAUCCUAUAGUAAGGACCCAAAAGUUCCUUAAGCUGAUAAACAAUGUCAUCAAAGCCUCAGGAUGCAAAAAUCAGUGUACAAAAAUCACUAGCAUUCCUAUACUCCAACAAGGGUCAAGCCAAGAGCCAAAUCUGGAACGCAACCCCAUUCACAAUUGCCACAAAAACAAUAAAAUACCUGGGAAUACAGUUAAUAAGGGAGGUGAAAUAUCUAUGCAAGGAGAACUAACAAACAAUGCUCAAAGAAAUCAGAGGUGACACAAACAAAUAAACAUCCUAUGCUCAGCUCAUGGAUUAGAAGGAUCAAUAUUGUUAAAAUGGCCAUACUGCCCAAAGAAAUUUUUUAAUUAAAUGCUAUUCCUAUUAAAUUACCAAUGACAUGCUUCACAGAACUAGAAAAAACUAUUUUAAAAUUUAUGUGGAUCCAAAAAAGAACCUGAAUAGUCAAGGCAAUCCAAAGCAAAAAGAACAUCCAGCUUAGGAUACCUCCUAAGCUGGAGCCAACGCUCUACCUGACUUCAAAGUAUAAUACAGGGCUACAGUAGCCAAAACAGCAUGGUCAUGGUACAAAAACAGACACCUAGACCAAUAAAGCAGAAUAGAGAGCCCAGAAAUAAAGCCACACAACUACAACCAUCUGAUCUUUGACAAAGCUGACAAAAACAAGCAAUGGGGAAAGGAUUUUCUAUUUCAUAAAUGGCCCUGGGAUAGCUAGCUAACCACAUGCAGAAGAUUGAAAUUAGACCUUUCCUUAUUACCAUAUACAAAAAUUAAUUCAGUAUUUAAAAAAUACCUAAAUGUAAAACCCAAAACUAUAAAAACCCUGGAAAACAACCUGGGCGGUACAAUUCUGGACAUAGAAACAAGCAAAGAUUUCAUGAAGAAGAUGCCAAAAAUUAUUGCAAUUAAAACAAAAAUUGACAAGUGGGAUUUAAUUAUACUUAAGAGCUUUUGCACAGCAAAAGAAUCUAUCAGCAGAGUAAACACACCACCCACAGAAUGGGAGAAAAUUUUUUCAAACAGUGUAUCUGACAAAGGACUAAUAUCCAGUAUCUAUAAGUAACUUAAAAAAAUUUACAAGAAAAAAACAAACAAACAGGCAGUGUGCAGUGGCUCACAACUAUAAUCCCAGCACUUUUGGAGGCCAAAGCAGAUUGAUCACUUGGGCCUAGGAGUUUGAGGCCAGUCUGGGCAACAUGGUGAAACCACAUCUCUACAAAAUAAAUAAAUAAAAAUAAAAAUAAAAAUUACAACAACAAAAACGCUAGGUGUGGUGGUGUGUGCCUGUAGUCCUAGCUACUUGGGAGGCUGAGAUGGGAGGAUCCCUUGAACAAAGGAGACAGAGGCUGCAGUGAGCUGAAAUUGCACCACUGCCCUCCAGCCUAGAUGACAGAGUGAGAUCCUGUUUCAAAACAAACAAAUAAUUCCAUUAAAAAGUGGGUAAAAGAUAUGAAUGGACACUUUUCAAAAGAACACAUACAUUCAGCCAACAAUCAUAUGAAAAGAAGCUCAACAUCACUGAUGAUUAGACAAAUGCAAAUCAAAACCAAAGAGAAAAACAUCUCACACAAGUCAGAAUGAUUAUUAUUAAAACUCAAAAACUAACAGAUGCUGCCAAGGUUGUGGAGAAAAAGAAACACUUAUACACUGUUGUUGGGAGGGUAAAUUAGUUCAACCAUUGUGGAAGACAGUGUGGCCAUUCCUCAAAGACCUAAAAAUCGAAGUACCAUCCAACCCAGCAAUCUCAUCACUGGGUAUAAACCCAAAAGAAUAUAAAUCAUUUUAUCAUAAACACACAUGCACACAUAUGUUUGUUGCAACACUAUUCACAAUAGCAAAGACAUGGAAUCAACCUAAAUGCCCAUCAAAGGUAGAGGGGAUAAAGAAAAUGUGGUACAUAUAGACCAUGGAAUACUAUGCAGCCAUAAAAAUGAAUGAGAUAAUGUCUUUUGCAGGAAUAUGGAAGGAACCGAAGGUUCUUACCCUUAGCAAACUCACAUGAACAGAAAACCAAAUACCACAUGUUUUGACCUAUAAGUAGGAGCUAAAUGAUGAUUACACAUGGACACGUAGAAGAAGGGAACAGCAGACACUGGGAUCUAUUGGAGGGUGAAGGGUAGGAAGAGGGAGAAGAUCAGGAAAAAUAACUAAUUGGUACUAGACUUAAUACCUGGGUGAUGAAAUAAUCUGUACAACAAAUCCCCAUGACACAAGUCUACCUAUAUAACAAAUACACACAGGUACCUCUAAACUUAAAAUAAAAGUUAAAGAAACAAAGGCACUCUUAGAAUGCUGAAUUGAAAUGGAGUCAGUGGGCAGGCCCAGGCUUCCAUCCCAGAAAAAUGAUGGAGAUUUUUUUCCACUCUUGAAAAAGCACAAUGAGAUACCAUCUCACAUAAAUCAGAAUGGCUAUGUUUAAAAAGUUUAGAAAACAACAGAUGCUGAUGAGACUGCAGAGAAAAGAGAUCACUUACACAUUGUUGUUGGGAAUGCAAAUUAGUUCAGCCACUGUGGAAACAGUUUGGAGAUUUCUUGAAGAACUUGAAACAGAACUACAUCUGACCCAAAAAUCUAAAAGAAAAUAAAUCAUUCCACCAGAAUGACAC